CAGCUGGGAGAGCACCUCCCUUACAAGGAGGGGGUCACUGGUUCGAGCCCAGUAACGACCA
rnacentral:tRNA from 1 species